CCUGCCGGCACCAAGCCCGGUGCCGAGGGGCACCGCUGUGCCUGGAGCAGCUGCCCCGCAGGCACCAGAGACCGAGCUCUGGGGUUUCACCUCUGCCAGUGAACAGGGGAAGGAAGAAGGAAGUGUAGCUGCCACUAAUCAGGCUAAUGAACUGGCUAGUAGGCUGUCAUCAUGAAGCGAGUUCUGCUGCAUCGAUCGUUUAUAAAAUCACCCCAGAUUUUACAAAUUGUGACAUUCUGAUUGUGUUGAAAACAUGUUUAAAAUGCAGUAGCAUGCAAGCAGCGGUGUUAAUGGCAAUUCUUAAAACCACUUGCGGGUUGCAAUCUGUAUCUUCAAAUUAGUCAGGGGAAGGAGAAAUGGCAGAUAAAAUAUCCACUGUGGUUUACUGUAGUUAGUGGAUGCCUCGAAUAAUCAACGUAGGCAAGGGAAAGGAACAGUAUUAAAAUUCGCUCCCGACUGCUAGAAGGGAGAUAAAUUUCCUUGCAAGCAAAUUGAGAGAGUUUGUUGACGUGCUGCUGGCACGCGUGUGCUACUCGUGUGUGUAUCCUGAUAGCGUGUAACUUUGUGAGCGUGGCACGGGAUGCACAUCAGUACCCGGUAGAUUUAAUGUGCAGACUGAACCAGCCAGAGCAAGAACCUUUUCAGAGCUGCUCAUCAUUGAACACUGCCAUUAAUGCCGUGGCUUGAAAGCCUCACCCCAAAUAAAACGUUGGCCUUGCCAGUGGAACACAACUCAGAACAGUUUAAAUGUCAUCAAGGUAACCAUGUUGUUUCCUCUGUUGAUGUGUUUUUCUGUUCCAAUGUCCAACCAUUCCUGGAAGUUCUCUAAAGAAAAUGAGAGAGUCCCUGCAUUUUGUGCUCAUCUGUCUGGCCACAUUAAUGGGAGGCUCCAAAUUCUGUGCGCAUUGAAUGGGAGAGGUGGUUACUUCUUGGGGUAUUGUAGGUAAAACAGUCUCUGGCUUCGCUGGGAGACAGCGUCAUCUUGCAAGGCUUCUCUUCUGAGCCCGGUCAUUUAAUUUUGAUAGUGGGGAUGCAAAGAACUAGCACUUAGUGGCUCAGAGUCGGCUUUGUUAAGGUGACAUUUCUUCUUGGAAAGGGUAAUUUUGUAUUUCUGCACCCUGUGCUGUACUCCUGCAUUUCUGUACAGGGAUUGUAAAACACAAAAAGUUCCAUAAGCACCCCGGAAAAUCACUCUCAUGACUUUCUUCACUGCCUAAAAUUUCAUGGAGCUGAAAAUUACUGGGUCAAUCUUGAAAGGAUUUAGUAAUUGGAAAGGA